rnacentral:lncRNA from 1 species
CUCAACGGGCAGAGCCUCUCCUUCAAGGUGCAGAUCGACGACGGCCGUGUGGUCACCAUAUACAACAUUGCUCCCUCCAACUGGAACUUCGGCUCGACCUACACGUCCAACAUCAACUUCUAGAUAUGAGUCUAGAACUAAUCAGCAUCUUGCUGAUGGCUAAAUAUAUAUUUACUGGUAUAUAUAUAUAUAUAUAUAUAUAUAUUUAGCCAUCAGCAAGGGGGAAUGCAUGGUUAUUAUUAUUGACGACCGAUGUACUGUGCAGGACAGAUCGUCGACGUUACGUAGGUAGGCAGAGAGCGAUGUUCUUUUUUUGGAAAAUCAGUUCUGUUUGCCGGUUUCUAGAUGUCGAUCCUGCCUGUAAUAACUGCGACUGUAUUUUACUUGGACAGCGGCUUCGUAUCUCAGAGCCCUCUAAGUAAUCAAUGCAGUAUAUGUUUGUAAUACUUAUAGUGAUCCCAGCUCUAUUAUUUUUCGUGUAAAUUAAAUCCAGAAUCGUUUAUCAAGUGACAUGUUAAGAUGCUUUGUCAGCUAUAUGCCUUUAACGUUGAUUUGAAUCUCGGAGCUUGAGGAGACUCAGAAGUCAGGAGGCAAUCUGGCGUUUUUUUUGUCAUGUCCAAUCUUCCCCUCCUUGAUUAUUGCUGAUGGAGUACCAGACGGAUGGAUCCACAUUCUGUCAUAAUGGUUAUGCUCGGUGGGGAAAACAGGAUCUGUCCAAGUCUAAGGCUCAAACUGAAGAAUAAAGCUACCCAUGCCAUGCCCCGACACACAAAUAUACAGUAUAAUUAUGGUAAAAUCAAUUUAAAAAUAUCUGUCGUACGGAAAAAAAUUCAAUUCUAAUGACGUUAGUAGCCGAGAAGACUCAUGGUUGCGGUUGCAAUGGGUAAAAUUAAGGCCAAUUCUCCUGAUCAAUUGACCAAUGGAAAAACCAAUUUAUCUAUUACAAGAAGCAAGGUUAUGAGAUGAAAGUAGCUUCAGGAAGCAUGAUUAGCAUACAACUCAAAUUGAAGGCUAAAACUACCUAUAGUUGUAUCUGUUUGUGCAUUUUCUUAGGUUGGAUUGGAUUCAUUUCAUGAUUAUACUUGGCAGAAAGAUUUAAUUGAUAUACUUCUCUUCAUCGACGAUUCAAACCAAGUUCUAACUGGUAAUCAAAUACUAAGAAGUAAUACGGUGAGAAAGGGAAUGGAAGAAAGAGACUAACCAAUUUUUCUUGUUAUUGGUAAUCAAAUCAAGAAAGGGGAAAGGGAAUCCCGACAGCCGGCGCCUCCAUGGCUCCACUAUCCUCGUUGAUCCCUCCAGCAUGCCGCGUCGAUCCUGCUGGCCGCUGCACGCUAGCAUCCCCACCGUACGCUGCUCCCUACACCGGCAUCGCCAGUCGGCCUCUGUCGCGGACCCCCCCGUGCCCGCCGCCCGCCGAGAGAGAGAGAGAGAGUCGCUAAGAGAGAGAGCUGGUGUGGAGAGCUAGCAUUUUGGGC